rnacentral:rRNA from 1 species
UACGAAGGGGGCUAGCGUUGCUCGGAAUCACUGGGCGUAAAGGGUGCGUAGGCGGGUCUUUAAGUCAGGGGUGAAAGCCUGUGGCUCAACCACAGAAUUGCCUUCGAUACUGUAUGGCUUGAGACCGGAAGAGGUAAGUGGAACUGCGAGUGUAGAGGUGAAAUUCGUAGAUAUUCGCAAGAACACCAGUGGCGAAGGCGGCUUACUGGUCCGGUUCUGACGCCGAGGCGCGAAAGCGUGGGGAGCAAACAGG